rnacentral:rRNA from 1 species
AGAGUUUGAUCAUGGCUCAGGAUGAACGCUGGCGGCGUGCUUAACACAUGCAAGUCGAACGGGGUUAAGUGAAACCUAGUGAUCUUAACUUAGUGGCGGACGGGUGAGUAACGCGUGGGUAACCUGCCGCAUGCAGGGGGACAACAGAGGGAAACUUCUGCUAAUACCGCAUAAGCGCACGGAGUCGCAUGACUCAGUGUGAAAAGAUUUGUCGGCAUGCGAUGGACCCGCGUCUGAUUAGGCAGUUGGUGAGGUAACGGCCCACCAAACCUACGAUCAGUAGCCGGCCUGAGAGGGUGAACGGCCACAUUGGGACUGAGACACGGCCCAAACUCCUACGGGAGGCAGCAGUGGGGAAUAUUGCACAAUGGGGGAAACCCUGAUGCAGCGACGCCGCGUGAGUGAAGAAGCAUUUCGGUGCGUAAAGCUCUGUCAGCAGGAAAGAAAGUGACGGUACCUGACCAAGAAGCCCCGGCUAACUACGUGCCAGCAGCCGCGGUAAUACGUAGGGGGCAAGCGUUAUCCGGAUUUACUGGGUGUAAAGGGAGCGUAGACGGCGCGGCAAGUCUGAAGUGAAAGGCGGGGGCCCAACCCCCGGACUGCUUUGGAAACUGUCAUGCUGGAGUGCGGGAGGGGCAGGCGGAAUUCCUAGUGUAGCGGUGAAAUGCGUAGAUAUUAGGAGGAACACCGGUGGCGAAGGCGGCCUGCUGGACCGUAACUGACGUUGAGGCUCGAAGGCGUGGGGAGCAAACAGGAUUAGAUACCCUGGUAGUCCACGCGGUAAACGAUGAUCACCAGGUGUCCGGGGACACGGUCCCCGGGUGCCGCAGCAAACGCAGUAAGUGAUCCACCUGGGGAGUACGUUCGCAAGAAUGAAACUCAAAGGAAUUGACGGGGACCCGCACAAGCGGUGGAGCAUGUGGUUUAAUUCGAAGCAACGCGAAGAACCUUACCCGGUCUUGACAUCCCCCCGGAUGCAGGGCAAUGCCUGCAGCCCUUCGGGGCGGGGGAGACAGGUGGUGCAUGGUUGUCGUCAGCUCGUGUCGUGAGAUGUUGGGUUAAGUCCCGCAACGAGCGCAACCCUUACGUUUAGUAGCCAGCGGUUCGGCCGGGCACUCUAGACGGACUGCCGGGGACAACCCGGAGGAAGGCGGGGAUGACGUCAAAUCAUCAUGCCCCUUAUGACCGGGGCUACACACGUGCUACAAUGGCGUAAACAAAGGGAGGCGAGGGAGCGAUCCGGAGCGAAUCCCAAAAACAACGUCCCAGUUCGGAUCGCAGUCUGCAACUCGACUGCGUGAAGCUGGAAUCGCUAGUAAUCGCGAAUCAGAACGUCGCGGUGAAUGCGUUCCCGGGUCUUGUACACACCGCCCGUCACACCAUGGGAGUCGGAAACGCCCGAAGUCGGUGACCCAACCUUCCAGGAGGGAGCCGCCGAAGGCAGGUCCGAUAACUGGGGUGAAGUCGUAACAAGGUAGCCGUAUCGGAAGGUGCGGCUGGAACACCUCCUU